rnacentral:tRNA from 1 species
GGAGACGUGCGAGAGCGGACGAUUCGGCACGCCUGGAACGCGUGUGUGGAGCAACUCACCGUGGGUUCGAAUCCCACCGUCUCCG